rnacentral:rRNA from 1 species
GUUAAGCGACUAAGCGUACACGGUGGAUGCCCUGGCAGUCAGAGGCGAUGAAGGACGUGCUAAUCUGCGAUAAGCGUCGGUAAGGUGAUAUGAACCGUUAUAACCGGCGAUUUCCGAAUGGGGAAACCCAGUGUGUUUCGACACACUAUCAUUAACUGAAUCCAUAGGUUAAUGAGGCGAACCGGGGGAACUGAAACAUCUAAGUACCCCGAGGAAAAGAAAUCAACCGAGAUUCCCCCAG